rnacentral:rRNA from 1 species
UACGGGGGGAGCAAGCGUUGUUCGGAUUUACUGGGCGUAAAGGGCGCGUAGGCGGCGCAACAAGUCACUUGUGAAAUCUCCGGGCUUAACCCGGAGCGGUCAAGUGAUACUGUCGUGCUAGAGUGCGGAAGGGGCUACUGGAAUUCCCGGUGUAGCGGUGAAAUGCGCAGAUAUCGGGAGGAACACCGGUGGCGAAGGCGGGUCUCUGGGCCGUAACUGACGCUGAGGAGCGAAAGCAUGGGGAGCGAACAGG